UCGACAAAGAAGAGAAUUAAUGGGCAUUCAAAGCUCAAAGAAAACCCUCAUGACAUUCUAUGAGUCUUAAUCCAGUGGUCGAGUUCAAAACGGACUGUAUAGGUCUGGCUGCCAAGUCUGUAAAUCCUGUUCUAAUCUAUUCUCCCCUUUGGACUCAAAUAUUGAUAAAGUCCCUGGCAGUCAGGUUCAUGUUUGACAUGAAUGGUCUGACAAUUUUUUUUGCUAUGAGAAAUACACCAUUGCAAACCAUGAGGCAAUCUGACCAUAAAUAAAUAGGCUUUCCAUUAUAUACUGUGAUCCUGGCUUUAAUCACACAUUCAUUAAGUUGGUUGUAACAGAUGAUAAAACAGUACUGAUUACUCAAAUGUUGCACAGACGCCCAAAGGUCACUGUUACUGAUGGUGCAGUCUUCUAUCCACCCAUUGGCUAAUAUACAGUAGCUACAUCUAUCAUAUAAACACACUCUAAAGCCUGCUUCCCAUCAGAAUGUGCCUUGUUGAUCAGAGUCCAGUGGGAGUCAUGAGGCUGGAGCACAAAGUGUCAAUGGGUGUUAAGUUUUUCACCUGUCUACCUCAUCCAGGGCUGUGGAGAUGGAGGUUGCCCCCUCCUCAGGGAGAAGCUGGGUUGGCUGCGUCAAGAGAACGACUCCCUGGAGAACAGACAGCUCAUUAGGGACCUGGAGGUGGCCCAGAUUGAACUGGGCAGCUCCAAGACCAAGGGCUGCUUCCAGUCUAUUCUACUCAGGGACUGGAUCCACACCCAGUGCGACUGGAUCCACACUACCUGGGACUGGAUCCACACCCAGUCUCCUGGUUGGAUUGAGUGAAUCACCUUCUCCUGUAAUUCACCUGUUGGACACAAUCUUGUUAACUGUUAACAAACAGUCUUCUCAUGUGUUCUGCUAGUAUAUCUUCAACUUCUAUAUCUACCUGUUCUGGUCCCUAACUCUGGCCUUCUAUUUGUUCUACCUGAUUAGCUAAACUGUCAUCCAUUAUUUAAAGAAAUAGAUCCUAGUAACCCAACUCCUACUCUACCAUCCUUAUUCUACAAAGUGUUGUCUACGUAGUAGUACGACGCCCUGGAGCAAAUGAGGUUUAAGUUCCUUGUAUUUGGCCUGAGUAUUUGAACCAGCAACCAUUUCGUUACUGGCCAAAUGCUCUAUCCACUAGGCCAGUGGUUCCCAAACUUUUUAUAGUUCCGUACCCCUUCAAACGUUCAACCUCCAGCUGCGUACCCCCUCUAGCACCAGUGUCAGCGCACUCUCAAAUGUUGUUUUUUGACAUCAUUGUAAGCCUGUCACACACACACUAUACACACACUAUAUGAUACAUUUAUUAAAUAUAAGAAUGAGUGUGUGUUUUUGUCACAACUUGGCUCGUGGGAAGUGGCAAAGAGCUCUUAUAGGACCAAAUAAUAAUAAUAUAAUAAUCAAUAAUUUACCUCUUUAUUUAGCCAUCUUACAUAUAAAACUUUAUUUGUUCAUCAAAAAUUGUGAAUAAUUCACCACAGGUUAAUGAGAAGGGUGUGCUUGAAAGGAUGCACAUAACUCUGCAAUAUUGGGUUGUAUUGGAGAGUCUGUCUUAAAUCAUUUUCCACACAUAGUCUGUGCCUAUAUUUAGUUUUCCUGCUUGUGAGGGCUGAGAAUCCACUCUCACAUAGGUACGUGGUUGCAAAGGGCAUUAGUGUCUUAACAGCGCGAUUUGCCAAGGCAGGAUACUCUGAGCACAGCCCUAUCCAGAAAUCUGGCAGCAGCGUCUGAUUAAAUUCAGUUUUCCCAGAACCGCUUGUUGCAAUUUCUAUGAGGUACUCUUGUUCAGAUAUCGGUAAGUUGACUGGAGACAGGGCAUGAGAGGGAUAACCAAUCCAGUUGUUUGUGUCAUCAGUUUCAGGAAAGUAACUUUGUAAUUGCGCAACCAACUCACUCAGGUGCUUCGCUAUAUCACAUUUGACAUUGUCCGUAAGCUUGAGUUCAUUUGCACACAAAAAAAUCUUACAAUGAUGUAAAGACCUGUGUGCUGUCCUUGUUAAUGCAGACAGAAGAAUUACAACUUCUUAAUCACAGCCUCAAUUUUCGAGCAAAUGAAAUGAGCAGCAGCUACAUUUGGCUACAUAAGGACCGUUAGUGGAAUUUCUGCGAGAGACUAACGGUUAUUGUGAUUAGAUGUUCAUUAUUUGACUAGGCUACCUGUAUUUGACAUUGUGUUGUUAUGUCGCUGAACACUAGAUGUUUUACUAUUAUUUUUGGCAGUGAAACGAGGCUACACAAGCAAGAAAAAAACCUCACCCAAGUGUAUAGCCCCAUUGGAAAAUAUAAAUGGACUGUUUAAAAAUGUGAAGAAAAAAACCUCACCCAAGUGUAUAGCCCCGUUGGAAAAUAUAAAUGGACUGUUUAAAAAUGUGAAGAAAAAAACCUCACCCAAGUGUAUAGCCCCAUUGGAAAAUAUAAAUGGACUGUUUUAAAAAUGUGAAGAAAAAAAUUAAAACCAUUUAAAAAAUGAUAUAUAUUAUUAUUAUUUAUUUUUUAAAAUGUGAAUUACAUUUUUAUUUGGCAUACCCCCGACUGCAUUGCGCUUACCCCUAGGGGUAUACCUGCACUAGGCUACCUGCCGCUCUAAUCUUUCUGUCUCCCUUCUCCCCUACAUCUUUCCGGCUCCCUUCUCCCCUACAUCUUUCCGGCUCCCUUCUCCCCUACAUCUUUCCGGCUCCUGUCGUGUCUUUACUAUCAUUAAACUGAAGACUUCGUUUUUAUCAAAGAUUCUCUGUAAUUAGUUACUCGAUUAAAUUGAAUAAUCAUGUAACUGUAAUUAACUAGGAAGUUGGGGCACAAAGGAAAGUAUUCAGAUUACAAAGUUAUAAUUUCCCAAUAUAACCUUUCAGAUAUUUUCAUAUCUGAUCAAUGAUUUAUUUAUUUGACCUCACGUUAGUCUCAUUCCAAACGUCAUAAAUUGUUGGUUAUCUGCACAAAUCCAGUCUUUACAAUGAGUCAUCCAUA
rnacentral:lncRNA from 1 species